CGGUCACAGUGACCGCCACCGUUGCCAAGGGAUGGGUCCCUGAGACUUGGCGAAGUGGGAGCCCUGUGUGAUCGUGCGUCAGAGUCGGGGCUGAGACCAGCCCCGGCCAGGGUAGUUACCGGGACGGUCUCCGGAGGCCGGGAUUCGCGGAGGGUCCACCAGCAGGAAGAAACCCCAGGAGGAAGAAACCUCAGACAGAUCGCCGGGGAGGCAGCGCGGGAUCCCAGCCUCAGGCGUGCGCGGACGGUGUGCGGGUCCAGCUAUGCAUCACCCCUUCGCUGAUGAGCCUUAAGAAAAUCCAAAUUUAUAAAUUGCUGGGUCCAUCUCUCUUUCCAUCCAGAAAAGUCAGAGCAACUGGUCUUGCUGGUUUUAAGUGUUGCCUGUGUUUCUGGCAUUGGUCACAAAGCCUACUGCCUGCUAAUCGGCAAGUGGACCUGUUUCUCUAACAAUGGCCCGAAACUUCACAACAUCAAAGGAGAAAUCAUUGCCAGCAAAAGCAUUUCCGGGUAGUAGGAAAGAAUACAAGUGAAUAACAUUAGUCCAGAAGUUUUAAUAAUAUUCUUUGCUGGUUGAAAUUCAUGUUUAAUAUGAUGUAAAUUACUUGAUAAGCAAAUUAAGAACUAUGCUACUACAGACUCCAAAUAAGACGCAAGAAAAAUGAGGGGAAAUACAUUAAAGGAAGAUCUUAAAAAACAGCUGCACAGAAGAUAAAUUAUUUUUCCAGGAGUUUUAAACAUAGUUGCUUUUGUUUGUUUGCUUUGCUGUUUUUUCUUAAUAAUUGUUUUAGUAAGCUCAGGCUGCUAUAUAAAAAUAAGAUAGGCGCUGGUCUGAACAAUAGACAUUUAUUUCUUAUAGUUCUUGAACCUGGCAAGUCUGAGGAGGGUCAUCUUCUGGGCUUUCAAAGGGCUGCCUUUUUCCUAUGUACGUACAUAGCGAAUAGAAAGUGUUAGCUCUCUGGUCUCUUCCUGUAAGAGCACUAAUCCCAUCAUGAAGACCCCAUCCUUAUGGGCUCAUCUAAACCUAAUUACUUCCAAAGGUCCCACCUCCAAAUGCUAACACAUUGAGAGUUAAGGCUUCAAUAUAUUAAUUUUGGGGAAACAAGACACAGUCCAUAUCAAAUAUAUAUAUAUAUGUAAUAUAUAUGUAUAAUAUAUAUGCAUACUAUAUAUGUAUAUAAUAUGUAUGUAUAAUAUAUAUACAAAUAUAUAUAAUAUAUAUUACAUAUACCCAAAUAUAUAUAUUAUAUAUAUUAUAUAUGUUAUGUAAUACAACUAUAUACACUCUACAAAGGCAGUGGAAUAUAGACAUACUUCAAUUGAUUGUGCUUUGCUUCACUUGGCUUCACAGAUAAUGUGUUUUUCACAAAUUGAAGGUUUAUGACCACCCUGCAUCAAGCAACUUUAUUGGCACCACUUUUUAAUAGCAUGUGUUCAUUUGUAUCUCUGUGCCAUAUCUAGGUAAAUCUCACAAUAUUUCAAACUUUUUAAUUAUAAUUAUAUUUGAUAUGGUAAUCUGUAACCAGUGACCUUUGAUGUUACUAUUGUAAUUGUUUUGGGCACCAUGAACCACAUCCAUAUAAGACAAUGAAUUUAAUCAAUAAAUGUGUGUGUUCUGACUGCUCCGCCAACUUAGACAAUUAGUUUUAGAUCUUUUAUUUAGACGAUGAGAAAAUUUAAACUAUAAAUAGGCCAGGUCUCGUGGCUUAUGCCUGGAAUCCCAGCAUUUUGGGAGGCUGAGGUGGGAGGCUCACUGGAGGCCAGGAGUUCAAAACCAGCCUGGGCAACAUAGGGAGACCUUAGCUCUACAAUUGAAAAAAAAAUAGCCAGGUGUGGUCAUGGUGGCACCUGUCUGUAUUCCAGCCACUUGGGAGGCUGAGGCAGGAGGUUUGCUUGAGUCCAGGAGUUUGAGGUUGCGGUGAGCUACACAAUGAGCUAUGGUGGCACUACUACACUCCAGCCUGGGCCAUAGAGUAAGGCCCUGUCUCUAACUGGAAGUCCAAAGAGGGAUCUACUUCCAAGACUAUUAAUUUAAUAGAUCAAUAAAUUAAUCAAGAAUAUGAUUUUUUUCUCAUCUUUAUUUGUAGUCAUAUUUUAUACAGACUUUUUGUUUAAGUAAUCUCUCUUUAUGGGCAGACAAUGAUUUCAGAAACACCACAAAUUAUUCUCAAAAAGAAAAGACGAGGAUUUUUUUUUUUUUAGAAAAUGUAACUCUUUUCAGUAGCUCUUGGCAGACCUACCCUCACAUUUUCUUGACUAAAAACAGUCAUUAAAAAAAGUCAGUCACAAACAGGUGAAUUUAAAUUAUCAUGGUUUACCUAUACUUAACAAGCUUUAUCCUCAGAGGUAAGGAUAGGGUUACUUUCCUGAAUUUUAGAUAUGUGGAAAUAUUUGGAGUUAUGUCAAUAAAUGAAAAAGUAUGAUGGAUAUAGUGCUUGCCAUGGAAUAUAUCAAAUACAGAUAUUCUGAAAACUUUAAGUUCAGUAAUAUGCCAGGGGUUCCCAAGACCACUUGAGACCUGGUAAUUUACUGGAAAUCUCUAAGGGAAUCAGAAGCUGUAGUACUCAUUGUUACAGUAUAUUACAGUAAAAACAGUACAGAUAGAAGUCAGCUAAGAGAAAAGACAAAUGAAGUGAACUCCAGGAGAAACCAAGUCCAAGCUCUCAGGUGUCCCCUCCCAGAGCAGUUGCAUGGGGACAUGUUUAAUUAUCCCAGCAACAAUAUGUAAAGUGCAAAGCAUUGCCAACCAGGAACACUCGCUGGAGCCUAGUUGUCGAAGGUGUUUACUGGGAUCAGUCACAUAGUCAUGUAAUGCCCAUAUGAUUGACCUCAGCUCCAUGACAUUUAAGCACAACUUUCUUCCUACACCCAGAGUAAAAACAGAUGUUCACAUAAGUCACGUUGAUAACAUAACCUUUUCUGGUCGAACUGGGAGAGUAUGGCCCAAGACUUCAGGAAAACAAGAACACUUUUAUCAAGCAAAAUACUCCAAGGGCUCAGAGAUGAACUCCUAGACUAAGGUCUAGUCCUGCAGAGGGACCCCUCUUUGGAAUGUACAGUAUUUGAGCAAUUCAUGCCAGUCAAGUUAAACCUUUUCACCCAUGCCUAAAUGCUAUUUAAGAAAUGUAAAUAACAACAAUGAGAUAGUUUAUUAAACAUUUUUAUUGUAAUACACAAAUAGUAUAUAGUUAAUUAAUUUUAACAAAGUGAUUGUACAUAUUUCACAAUAAAAUUCCCUUAAAUUACCAUCUGCUCCAUCUGCAAGUAAUUAUUAUUCUGAUUGCUAAUAACAUAGACUUUUUUAACCUAUUUUUGAACUUUUAUAAUAGAAUUAAACAAUAUAUAUUCUUUUCUGGAUGGCUUCUCUUACUCAGAAAUGUAUUUGGGAGAGUCAUCAAAGCUCUCUUGGGUAUACCAUUUAUCCUUCUUGCUUGAUAAUACUCCAUGUAUUUAUAUAUAUGCUAUGAUGUGUUUAUUUCACUCUUGAUGGAUAACUGCAAAACUUCCAAUUUAAGCUGUUGUGAAUAAUUCUUUAAUAAACAAUUUUGUACAUUUCCUGAAUAUGUUUAUGUGUUCCUGUUGGAUGAUAGUAGCAGAAUUAUUGGUCACAGGGUAUGCAUAUACUUAAUUUUAACAGAUAAGGUCAAAUACUUUCCAAAUUCAUUUUAACAAUUACAGUCAACCUGCAUUGUUUUAGAGCCCCGAUUGCAGGGUCAUUUUGGAUUAGUUUGUCUUUCUCUUGUUGAUUUUAAUGGAUAGUGUUAGGCUGUAAAUAAAGUUAUUUAUGCAUAGUAAGAACUUUCUCAACAAAUUUUACUCAGACUUCUGCUCUACGCUAAGAACUAGCUCUGGAAAUUAAUUCACAGAAAGAACAUGGUUAGGGGCCAUCCUGAGGGAUUUACCUCACUAGGGAUAUAUAUUUACAUUUCAAGAGAAGAUGAGACCCAGUAGAUGCAUCCCAGAAGUUACAAAGCUGGAGACUCUAGUGUUAUCUUUC
rnacentral:lncRNA from 1 species